CCUACGGGUGGCUGCAGUGAGGAAUAUUGGUCAAUGGGCGCGAGCCUGAACCAGCCAAGUAGCGUGAAGGAUGACUGCCCUACGGGUUGUAAACUUCUUUUAUAAAGGAAUAAAGUGAGGCACGUGUGCCUUUUUGUAUGUACUUUAUGAAUAAGGAUCGGCUAACUCCGUGCCAGCAGCCGCGGUAAUACGGAGGAUCCGAGCGUUAUCCGGAUUUAUUGGGUUUAAAGGGAGCGUAGAUGGGUUGUUAAGUCAGUUGUGAAAGUUUGCGGCUCAACCGCGAAACUGCAAUUGAAACUGGUAUUCUUGAGUACAGGAGAGGUCAGCGGAAUUCCUUGUGUAGCGGUGAAAUGCGUAGAUAUAAGGAAGAACACCAGUGGCGAAGGCAGAUGACUGGACUGCAACUGACGGUGAGGCGCGAAAGCGUGGGGAGCAAACAGGAUUAGAUACCCGAGUAGUC
rnacentral:rRNA from 1 species